rnacentral:rRNA from 1 species
UACGAAGGGUACAAGCGUUACUCGGAAUUACUGGGCGUAAAGCGUGCGUAGGUGGUUCGUUAAGUCUGUCGUGAAAGCCCCGGGCUCAACCUGGGAAUGGCGAUGGAUACUGGCGGGCUAGAGUGCGGUAGAGGGUGGUGGAAUUCCCGGUGUAGCAGUGAAAUGCGUAGAGAUCGGGAGGAACAUCAGUUGCGAAGGCGGCCACCUGGACCAGCACUGACACUGAGGCACGAAAGCGUGGGGAGCAAACAGG